UCGGAUUAGGAUUAUCCGUCCCGCCGCACCGCUUGUCUACCUUGUGCAACUCUGUUCCCCAGAUAUGGCGUCUCUCUUCUCCACACCAACUUCAACUUCAACUUCAACUUCGUAUCUCUUCCGUCAAAAAUCCUCCUUAUACGGCACCGUUUUCCCUCUCAGGUGUGACCGGAAGCCCGGCAAUUUGAGAAGCACGGGUUACUUUGAAAUUAGCUGCCGACUUAGCACCAGAGCCAAAGAGUCGUCGCCGUCUCCGGCUUUAAACCUGAACAAGGAGCCUCACAAGUACUUUGACCAGGUCGUCAUCACGGUCCGCUCCGGCGACGGCGGCCACGGCGCGGUCCUCAACAUGCCGAACCAGAAAGCUACUAAGCCGCCGCAGGGGAAGGUUGAGAAGGAGAAGGCCAGGAGGAGAGGAUUGUUGAAGAGGGACUUCGGCGGGUCCCUCAUUCUUCCCACAGGUGGCCAUGGAGGUGAUGUGGUGAUAUAUGCUGAUGAGGAGGAAGAUACAUUGCUGGAGUUUCACAAGAAAGGGAGGUACAAUGCCAAGCGCGGCGGAAAUGUGGCUGCUAUGGGGGUUUUGACCUCCCAAUUGAGAGAUGGAGUUGCUGCCCCAACUCUGCGCAUUCCUGUGCCUGUAGGUACUGUUGUGAAGCGGAAACGAGGGACGCUGUUGCGUGAUCUAGCCCAGCCAGGUGAUGAAAUCCUUGUAGCAAGGGGCGGACAAGGAGGGAUUAGCUUGGUAGAAAUGCCAGAGCGUAGCAAGAAAAAGUUGAUGGCUUUGACCACUAAUGUGAUGAGAGAUGAUAGCGAUAAGGUUUUAUCACUUGGUCAACCUGGAGAGGAGGUUACUUUGGAGUUGAUUCUACGAGUUGUUGCUGAUGUUGGUUUGGUUGGCCUCCCAAAUGCUGGAAAGUCAACCCUUUUGGCAGCUACUACCCUUGCAAAACCUGAUAUUGCUGAUUAUCCUUUCACAACCUUAAUGCCGAACCUAGGACGUCUUAAUGGUGACCCAAGUUUAGGGGCUCAGAUGUAUACUUCUGAAGCAACAUUAGCAGAUUUACCUGGUCUUAUUGAAGGUGCUCAUCUUGGGAAGGGUCUAGGUCGCAACUUCUUGAGGCAUCUAAGGAGGACUCGGCUAUUGGUCCAUGUUGUUGAUGCAGCAGCCGAGGAUCCUGUUAAUGACUACAGAACCGUCAAAGAAGAAUUGCGAAUGUAUAACCCUGAUUACCUCGAUCGACCAUACAUUGUGGUAUUGAAUAAAAUUGAUAUUCCCAAGGCAAGUGAGAGGCUUCCAUCUCUGACUAAAGAAAUAAUGAGACUCGGUAGUGAUAGGCCAUCUACUUUAGAUACAGCUCAAACACUGUCAACCGAAGGUGGAAAUGCAGAUGUACCUUCUUCUGGAGUUCCUAGUAGAGACAGAAAGGAAAAAGGAAUUGAAGACUAUCCACGUCCCAUUGCCAUUGUAGGAGUCAGUGUUUUGAAAGGCAUCAAAACUAAUGAGAUGCUGAAGGAGAUAAGGGCAGCUCUGAGAAUGUGCCGCGACUGAAAUGAAGCAUUAGAUUGAGUGUGAAACCAUGAGAUCUGUGUAGAACAGAAACGCCCUUUAUUACAUGGUGUUCUUCUCAGAUAGAUAGGCGGGUCGACAUCUCUAUUUGUGCCCACAUUGACAUCUAUUCCGUUUAUGCCAGCAUUAACAUCUAUUCUGUUUGUGCACACAUAGCGCUUGAAUCACGCACACAUUAUGUACGCUCGAAUCGAGCACACAUCGUUUAUGUCGGAAUCCCGCACGCAUCGUUCACUUUACUCACAUUGCUAUUCUGUUUAAGCUAGCAUUGCACUCACAUUGCUAUUUUUGUUUACGCUUGCAUCAUUUUCAUCCACAUUGUGCUUA